rnacentral:rRNA from 1 species
UAGAGGAAGUAAAAGUCGUAACAAGGUCUCCGUUGGUGAACCAGCGGAGGGAUCAUUACUGAGUUUACGCUCUACAACCCUUUGUGAACAUACCUAUAACUGUUGCUUCGGCGGGUAGGGUCUCCGCGACCCUCCCGGCCUCCCGCCUCCGGGCGGGUCGGCGCCCGCCGGAGGAUAACCAAACUCUGAUUUAACGACGUUUCUUCUGAGUGGUACAAGCAAAUAAUCAAAACUUUUAACAACGGAUCUCUUGGUUCUGGCAUCGAUGAAGAACGCAGCGAAAUGCGAUAAGUAAUGUGAAUUGCAGAAUUCAGUGAAUCAUCGAAUCUUUGAACGCACAUUGCGCCCGCCAGCAUUCUGGCGGGCAUGCCUGUUCGAGCGUCAUUUCAACCCUCAAGCUCUGCUUGGUGUUGGGGCCCUACAGCCGAUGUAGGCCCUCAAAGGUAGUGGCGGACCCUCCCGGAGCCUCCUUUGCGUAGUAACUUUACGUCUCGCACUGGGAUCCGGAGGGACUCUUGCCGUAAAACCCCCCAAUUUUCCAAAGGUUGACCUCGGAUCAGGUAGGAAUACCCGCUGAACUUAAGCAUAUCAAUA